rnacentral:rRNA from 1 species
UACAGAGGGUGCGAGCGUUGUCCGGAAUCACUGGGCGUAAAGGGCGCGUAGGCGGCCUGAUAAGUCGGGGGUGAAACGCUGCGGCUCAACCGCAGCACUGCCUUCGAGACUGUCGGGCUUGAGCACGGUAGAGGCUGGUGGAAUUCCCGGUGUAGCGGUGGAAUGCGUAGAGAUCGGGAAGAACAUCGGUGGCGAAGGCGGCCAGCUGGGCCGUUGCUGACGCUGAGGCGCGACAGCGUGGGGAG